UACUAGUCGAACGAGUUCACACUCGUGGCAGAUAGCUCAGUAACACGUGGCCAAGCUACCCUUCAGUCAGCGAUACCCUCGGGAAACUGAGGCUAAUAGCUGAUACUCGACGCCAGCUGGAAUGCGGCGUCGUCGAAAGACAUCGCUGAAGGAUGCGGCUGCGGCCGAUUAGGUAGACGGUGGGGUAACGGCCCACCGCGCCAGUAAUCGGUACGGGUGAUGAGAGUCAGAGCCCGGAGACGGAAUCUGAGACAAGAUUCCGGGCCCUACGGGGCGCAGCAGGCGCGAAACCUUUACACUGCACGGAAGUGCGAUAGGGGAAUCCCAAGUGCGAGGGCAUAUUAGCCCUCGCUUUUGUUGACUGUAAGGUGGUCAACGAAUAAGAGCUGGGCAAGACCGGUGCCAGCCGCCGCGGUAAUACCGGCAGCACGAGUGAUGACCGCUCUUAUUGGGCCUAAAGCGUCCGUAGCUGGCCACGCAAGUCUAUCGGGAAAUCCGCGCGCUCAACGCGCGGGCGUCCGGUGGAAACUGUGUGGCUUGGGACCGGAAGAUCCAGAGGGUACGUCUGGGGUAGGAGUGGAAUCCCGUAAUCCUGGACGGACCACCGGUGGCGAAAGCGCUCUGGAAAGACGGAUCCGACGGUGAGGGACGAAAGUUCGGGUCACGAACCGGAUUAGAUACCCGGGUAGUCCGAGCUGUAAACGAUGUCUGCUAGGUGUGCCACA
rnacentral:rRNA from 1 species